UUUAGAAAAAGAAAAAAAGGAUUAUAUAUGUAUAUAUUAUAUAUAUUUACAUUUACAUUUUGGGAGGAAAGAAGAAAAAAAAAAAAAAAUUCUCUCUCCUUCCUUGCUUCACGCGAAAAAGAGGUCCCACAGCCCUUUUUUUUUUUUUUUCGUUUUCGUGAGUUGCCGCCGCUUGAACCCAUCCUCCAUUCUUUUUCUCGUUCCGUCUCCCUCCCUCUUCGGUGUGAGACGCCGCCGCCUAGCCUACCUCACGCCAGCCGCUGAGAGCAACUCGUGCGUCGCCAGACCUGUUCACGCCGAGCCUCGUCGUCGGACGUCUCAGCUUCUUCACGCCGCCAUGUCUCUCCCUGGUUUCACGAGCGCCGUCGGACCUGAGCUGCGCCGCCGUUCCCUCAUAUCUGUCGUCCGUCGGUCACCGUCGCCUCGCCGGAAACUUGGAAUCUUGGGUUGGUGACUUCAUGCUUGGCUUGGAAGCGAUUUUGGAGCAAGUCACUGAUUGGGGAAGAUCCCAAGAAUUUUACUCAAGACAAAAAGGACUUAUGCCAAUGUAUUAUAGUCGAACAUGGAUGGGAGACAUUAUGUCAAUGCCCAUCCAUCAUCAUUCAAAGUAUUGUACGUACGUGCUAUCAAGGUCGCCUACAUGAGGAUGAAGAUGCGGUAAUCAUAAAUGAUCGAGUGGUAUCGUUUAGCAUUCGCGACAUCAACGAGCUCUUCAAGUUAAAAGACAUUCUUGAUGUGUUGGGCAAUCAACUAAUUGAAGAAUGAGCCAGAUGAUGAGCAUUUGAAGGAGAUAUUAAAGGUCUUGACGCAAACUGACUCUCAAUGGAAAGUAUCUAUCACGGGCCUUAGGACAUUGGCUUCAAAUCAUCUCCUAUCGGAGGCGUGUUUAUGGGUUUAUUUGGUCAAGAAGUGGAUUAGGGACCGCGUAAUGGCUGCCUUUACAUUGCAAGAGGCAUCUCCAUAAUCGCAAAGAAAAUCAAGGGGACCUUUGCAAACCUUGCAACCAACUCUUUUUCCCCUGAAAUAUCACUAGCCUUUUCCCAUCGGCAGGUUUUGGCAUUGACGAAGAGCCUAUGACCGAAGUACACAGGCUAAUCAACAACAAAAUCCUGAUGAUAAUUCUGAAGGAUUCACUGCAUUGCCCAUGCGGCUCGUUGAACCCAAGCGGCCCAUCAUUGACCUAAAUGCCCCUCAACCGCCAAGAGCCAACUUCCACCAAAGACAAAAAAAUUUGCUAGAGAGAGCCCAGAGCGUCAUGACCAUAAAGAGUGCAUGCCCAAUCCUUCUCCAUUAGAAAUCCUCCCUUCAAGUCCUUUUGAGUCUUUAUCUUCUUUGCCUGAGAACCUGACCAACCUUCUUCUUUUGACUGAGUAAAUUCAUCAGUCCACCCCAAUCUCCCCACAACUCCCCAAGCCAAUCACCAUAUAAGCAUCUUUCCCCAUCCACCACAGAAAAAUCACCUCCUCCUCCACCCAAAUUCCAUGACCCACAUGGCUUGGGCAUUGGCCCUUUUAACCAGCUCCAAUCCGAAAUUUGAUUUGUGAGACUUUGGGUGUUUUGCCGCAACCUUCCCAACCACAACCACUCUUCCCCUUCAGCCUUGAUGAGCUUAAAACUUUCAUCUCUGAAGAACUUCCAACUCAGUUUGUGCCCCUCCGUCAAUCUUUCUUAGAACUGCACUAGGACAUAGAAAUCAUACGGCAAUCUCUUGUCAAUGUAUAGCGCAACAUCCUCACCCUUUGCCAAAAUCAACGCAUGCAGGCAAAAAGGAAUCACAAGUACUUCAACUUUUGACCGUCUACCUGCAUGGCCUAACUGUCCAUCCUCAUCUUCGCUAGCCUUAACGAUUUUCUGAUUCGCAAGGCGCUGCCCCUCUGGCCCUACAAUGUGAUGAUCCUCCAUAGCAGCCAUAAAUUUGGUGGUGAUGUAUUUAAAGUUGCAAUUUUUUUCUCUAUCAUUUGUAUUUUCACUUGCGAUAUAUCCUUUCAGUCCUUGUACUUUAGCGCUCUGGUAAUAUUGAAUGAAUCCUUAUAAUUUUUGCACC